rnacentral:rRNA from 1 species
GGAAUAUUGGACAAUGGGCGCAAGCCUGAUCCAGCCAUGCCGCGUGCAGGAAGACGGUCCUAUGGAUUGUAAACUGCUUUUGUACAGGAAGAAACACUCCGACGUGUCGGAGCUUGACGGUACUGUAAGAAUAAGGAUCGGCUAACUCCGUGCCAGCAGCCGCGGUAAUACGGAGGAUCCAAGCGUUAUCCGGAAUCAUUGGGUUUAAAGGGUCCGUAGGCGGUUUAAUAAGUCAGUGGUGAAAUCUGGUCGCUCAACGAUCAAACGGCCGUUGAUACUGUUAGACUUGAAUUAUUAGGAAGUAACUAGAAUAUGUAGUGUAGCGGUGAAAUGCUUAGAUAUUACAUGGAAUACCAAUUGCGAAGGCAGGUUACUACUAAUGGAUUGACGCUGAUGGACGAAAGCGUGGGGAGCGAACAGGAUUAGAUACCCGAG